rnacentral:lncRNA from 1 species
UUUGGCAAUUUAAAGUUUUCUUUUUUUAAAAUUUGUCUUUUAUUUGUUUUUGGAAUAACACUUUUGAAGUACUACUGAUGAAGUUAUUCAGGCUAAUAGGUUUGAUGUUUCAGGUUUGGAAUGAUGGAUGAUAGACACAAAUGAUAAAUGUAAUUCAUUUUUCUAGGGGGAAAAUGUAGACAAACACAUUGUUUGUGCUCCUUUUAUUUUGUGUGAAUUUCAAAGUUCAUUCUCACUUAGAUGUAUACAAAUGGUGGUGAUGGGGUUACUUGUUCUUACCUAUGAAGUAUCCUCAUGAAGCUAUGGUUGCAAUAAAUUUUAUGGGAAGAGUUGGGCACGUGUAAUUUUG